UCUUCUGGGGUGCGGAUGUCACCCUGCCCAUCACAACCUGGACCCCUAAAGGAAGUUUUCAAGUCCUUGCUUCUACCAAGUGGGGCCUUUUUUUUUGUACCUCGAAAGUAUCACAGAGCUAAACCGUUGUAUUUGCAGAACUGUGCCCUCCUCCUCUGUACCAUAUUCCUGUUUCCUUUCAGGCUGGCCCCCAAUCCUUUCUUUACAUCAUCUGGUGACUUUUUAGACCUUUUGUUUGGAUACAUCUUCAGAAAAUAGCCACAUUGAAUAAUAAAUGGAAGUUGGCUGGAAUUGGUUGCUAAGUAUAGAUCAUGACUUACCUCAUAAAGGACAAGAUGAGCUUGAUAAGAGAAUAAUGAGACACUAAGAUUCAGACUUGUGGUUUCAGACCAGGGAAUUCAGGAAGCCGCAGGAGAUAAACCUCACCUGAUUGUAAGAGGUGGGCCACAUCCCUUAUGGGGAGGUUAAGAGCAGUACCCUUGGAGAAUUGUCGAGGGGUGCGCAUGAUUUUGUUGUAGCUUUUCAUGUGGGGCUUUCCCCCACCUGUGCACUUUUACCCUUACCUCCAGAUCGUAGGAAAGAUUACGGGGUUGAGUGGCCAUAAAGCAUGGCUUUGUAUCUGACCUUGCAAUACUUAUUGGAACAUACCGAUUAGCAAAGAAAAGCCAAGUGUUUGCAAUGGAGAAGUUUCCAAUUCCUGGAACAUGCUCCUUUGAUAUGUUGAUGUGUUUUCUGAAACAUGCCUUACACACCUCCUUACCAGCUUUUGAAAUCUGCAUUGCACAGGCGAAUGUCAUGUGCACGGAGUUUGGCAACCCGAGGGUUAAGCAAUGGCAGGCUGACGCUAUUCGUGUAACCAGCACAGGUGCAGGGUUUUAGUACUACAGCAGCCAAUCAGCGGCAGACAGUGCGGGUUGAGUCAUAUUUUCCGUUUACAGAACCAAUGGGUAUUUUACAUAACGACGAGGAGGUCAGGCUGAGGACAUACCGAAGUUAGCACAUGUAUACUACACUCCAGGGAACAGGAAGGCAGGAAGGAAAAAAAAAAAAACAAAAACAGCCAGACCUUUGAGAGGAAAAGAAAUUGACCCAUUAGCCAGUACCAAAUGUUUGCAUUUGACUUCACUACAAGUGACUGACUGAUACCAGGGCUAUUUCAGAGAAGCAGGAAAGAGCAUAAACUGCCAGCAGAUCAUAGAGGUUCCCCCCACUGGCUCUGGGUUUGGGGGGAAUCUGUGAACCGUGGGUGGCUGGUUCUGAAUAAGGAGGCACCCGCACCUUCGUAAGAGCCUCUGAUUACAGAUGUUUCAGACUUCAGCUGUGUUGAGGUACCAUCCACAUGUACGGAUGUCUGUAGGCCCCGCAACCUUCAAAUCCAUUAGCCACUUGUGUUUGCUCACAUGACCUCUCAGCCCAGGCUAAGUGUUCUUUGCAAUUAAACACCCCAAUAAAUGUAAUUAACAUU